GUAAGAAUCCCACCAUUUCUGGCUCCCAUAUCUUCCAACGUAGACAUAUCACCUCUGACUUUGCAGAAGAAACCAUCUGCGGUAGAAAUGAUAGCAAUGUCCAUAUUAUCAUUCCCUUUUAUCAUUAGAACAGCUGAUGCUUCUUGAACUAUACAUACCGGAUUGAAUCCUCGCAAAGGGAAAGUCGGAGAUCAGAGAUCAGCCUCGUCUGCAAGGUCAGGCAGGAGUCAUAUACCAGCAUCUUUAUCUUCACCGAAAAGAAUCCAUGUGGACAAUGUCUUCCCUUCCACACCGUUCACCGGAGACGUGAAAAUCUGCAGCUGACAUUCCUGGCUGUACUCAAGUUUCUGAGGAAAGGGCUCAACAGAGAAGUAAUUCCUUCCAGGGACUUCGAGCUAUGACCUUGGGAACUGAAAUCUGGACACAAAGGGAACGGGUGUUUGCCUUCACCUCAUGAAAGGUGAAUGAUG
rnacentral:lncRNA from 1 species